rnacentral:lncRNA from 1 species
UGGGUCAACUAAGAUAUUUGCUGGGUCAUCUCAAAAAAAUUUUUAGAUCUUCACCUUUCUAUCUUUAUCUUAAGUCUGAGAUUGAGUCAGCUAAGAUGCUGUCUUAGUCAAUUAAGAUGAAAACUUGAUCGGCUAAGGAAGUUCUUCUGAAUUUUAACUCUUUCUAUCUUUCUCUUGAACUGAGAUUAGGUCGGCUAAGCUCCUUAUUUGAUCGACUCAAAAGUAUGCUAAG